UUUUCGGAGUUCACCUUCAUCCUGAUUAACGAGCAGAUCCUCAGAGAGCGGGACCGUCGACACCGGACCUUCAGAACCGACUGUAAGAACAUUUCUGAUCAUUUCUUCAUCAGACCGAGACGCUAAGACAGAAGAACUACCGCGUCUGUAAAAUGAUUAAUAUGGUGAUUAUUACUUCAAGGAAAUGAUAAAGAAAUGAUCAUAAAUGUUCUUCCUUGAGCUGCGGCACCCCGCUGUAGUCCGUAAUGGACUGGCCUGAGGUCUCACUACAAACAAGCGUCUGCUGGAAGAGAGUAGGUGAGUUGUGUUUAGUCUCUUUGCUAAAGAAAUGAGUCAAAGUUAAAAAGAUGUUUGGUGUCUAGUACUAUGUCUGUGACCCUAUAUGUCCUGUUGAUGAAGUUAGGUGCUGUUCUGAGCAUUAUUUGUGGCUAUAGAGUGGCGUUUUGGUUGGGGGCGUGGCUCUCUGUAUUUCUAUCCUGCGGUCGUUACUAAAGUUGGUAUAACUAGAGAAGCAAGCGGUCGACAACAUUCAUCUCUGGAGGGGGGGUCUAACUCGGUGUUACAGUGGGUUUGACCCUAAAUUAAUUUAAU